GCGCUGCUGGUGUAGUGGUAACAUGGAAGAUUCCCAUUCUUCUGCCCCGGGUUCGAUUCCCGGGCAGCGCA
rnacentral:tRNA from 1 species